GCCUGGGCCACAACCAAGGAGAGCUUAAGGAGGGAAGGAGAAUGAUGCGCUGACAGGUUCCACCCACAUUCGUAAUGGGAGAAGUGACCUUGUGGAGUAAAGAAAACAGAGCUCAUCAAGAGUCUUGAUGAGAACACACAUGGUGCAUUGAUGGGGCAAAAGCUUUUAUAGAACGAGUUCGUAAGAUUGGAGAAGAGAUGCCAGGUAUGGUAGUGUAACCCUUUCACCUAGCAUUUGUGAGGCAGAGCCACACUGAUGCAUGGAGUGAGAUCCAGGACUGUCAGCCAGGGCUACAUAAUGAGACCCUGUCUCUGAUGGAUUCCACAAUCCCACAAGGUGGCAGGAGAUAAUCAACCGAGAGUUCUCUGACCACACUGCUCUGUGGGACACAUGGGUGCUUACACACACACACACACACACACACACACACACACACACACACACAC
ensembl:processed_transcript 4930481B07Rik RIKEN cDNA 4930481B07 gene